UACGAGGGGGGCAAGCGUUGUUCGGAAUUAUUGGGCGUAAAGGGCGCGUAGGCGGUUUGGCAAGUUUCGUGUGAAAACUUCGGGCUCAACUCGAAGCCUGCACGGAAAACUGCCGGGCUUGAGUAUGGGAGAGGUGAGUGGAAUUUCCGGUGUAGCGGUGAAAUGCGUAGAUAUCGGAAGGAACACCUGUGGCGAAAGCGGCUCACUGGACCAUAACUGACGCUGAGGCGCGAAAGCUAGGGGAGCAAAC
rnacentral:rRNA from 1 species